UACGUAGGGUCCGAGCGUUGUCCGGAAUUAUUGGGCGUAAAGGGCUCGUAGGCGGCCAACUAAGUCAGACGUGAAAUCCCUCGGCUUAACCGGGGAACUGCGUCUGAUACUGGUUGGCUUGAAUCCGGGAGAGGGAUGUGGAAUUCCAGGUGUAGCGGUGAAAUGCGUAGAUAUCUGGAGGAACACCGGUGGCGAAGGCGGCAUCCUGGACCGGUAUUGACGCUGAGGAGCGAAAGCCAGGGGAGCAAACGGG
rnacentral:rRNA from 1 species